rnacentral:rRNA from 1 species
AGGGUUUGAUCCUGGCUCAGAACGAACGCUGGCGGCGUGGAUUAGGCAUGCAAGUCGAGCGAGGGCGAGAGCUUCGGCUCUCGAAUCGAGCGGCGAAAGGGUGAGUAACGCAUAGGCAAUCCGCCCGCGAGUUCGGGAUAACCGCUGGAAACGGCGACUAAUACCGAAUUGCCCCGGUUAAAGACAUCUUCGGCCGGGUAAAGGGGGGGACCUUCGGGCCUCUCGCUCGCGGAGGAGCCUAUGUCCUAUCAGCUAGUUGGUGGGGUAACGGCCCACCAAGGCGAUGACGGGUAGCCGGGCUGAGAGGUUGACCGGCCACACUGGGACUGAGACACUGCCCAGACUCCUACGGGAGGCUGCAGUCGAGAAUCUUCCGCAAUGGGCGCAAGCCUGACGGAGCGACGCCGCGUGGAGGACGAAGGCCUUCGGGUUGUAAACUCCUGUCACGUGACGAGAAAUGUAAGGCGCUAACAUCGUCUUGCUUGACAACUCAUGAGAGGAAGUCACGGCUAACUCUGUGCCAGCAGCCGCGGUAAUACAGAGGUGGCAAGCGUUGUUCGGAAUCACUGGGCAUAAAGGGCGCGUAGGCGGUUGAGCAAGUCGGGUGUGAAAGCCCUCGGCCUAACCGAGGAACUGCAUCCGAUACUGUUCGACUAGAGUGCGGUAGGGGAGAGUGGAACUCCUGGUGGAGCGGUGAAAUGCGUAGAUAUCAGGAGGAACGCCGGUGGCGAAAGCGACUCUCUGGCCCGUAACUGACGCUGAGGCGCGAAAGCCAGGGGAGCAAACGGGAUUAGAUACCCCGGUAGUCCUGGCCCUAAACGAUGGGCACUAGGUAGUGGAGGGUCCGAUCUCUUCACUGCCGGAGCAAAUGUGUUAAGUGCCCCGCCUGGGGAGUACAGUCGCAAGGCCGAAACUCAAAGGAAUUGACGGGGGCUCACACAAGCGGUGGAGGAUGUUGCUUAAUUCGAAGCAACGCGCAGAACCUUACCUGGGCUUGACAUGCUAGUGGUACGACCCCGAAAGGGUUAGGACCUGGUUUUCCAGGAGCUAGCACAGGUGUUGCAUGGCUGUCGUCAGCUCGUGUCGUGAGAUGUUGGGUUAAGUCCCGUAACGAGCGAAACCCUUGUCGUUAGUUGCCAGCGGGUAAUGCCGGGGACUCUAGCGAGACUGCCGGUGUCAAACCGGAGGAAGGUGGGGACGACGUCAAGUCAUCAUGGCCCUUACGCCCAGGGCUGCAAACGUCCUACAAUGGUCGGUACAAAGGGAAGCAAGACCGCAAGGUGGAGCGAAUCCCAAAAAGCCGGCCCCAGUUCGGAUUGUGGGCUGCAAUUCGCCCGCAUGAAGCCGGAAUCGCUAGUAAUCGCGGAUCAGCACGCCGCGGUGAAUAUGUUCCUGAGCCUUGUACACAC